UACAGAGGCCCCAAGCGUUGUUCGGAUUCACUGGGCGUAAAGGGUGUGUAGGUGGCGCGCUAAGUCGGGUGUGAAAUUUCGGAGCUUAACUCCGAAACUGCAUUCGAUACUGCCGUGCUUGAGGACUGGAGAGGAGACUGGAAUUUACGGUGUAGCGGUGAAAUGCGUAGAUAUCGUAAGGAAGACCAGUGGCGAAGGCGGGUCUCUGGACAGUUCCUGACGCUGAGGCACGAAGGCCAGGGGAGCAAACGGG
rnacentral:rRNA from 1 species